rnacentral:rRNA from 1 species
UACGGAGGGGGCUAGCGUUAUUCGGAAUUACUGGGCGUAAAGCGCACGUAGGCGGCUUUGUAAGUCAGAGGUGAAAGCCUGGAGCUCAACUCCAGAACUGCCUUUGAGACUGCAUCGCUUGAAUCCAGGAGAGGUGAGUGGAAUUCCGAGUGUAGAGGUGAAAUUCGUAGAUAUCGGGAGGAACACCGGUGGCGAAGGCGGCGAUCUGGGUAGAUACUGACGCUGAGGUGGCGAAAGCGUGGGGAGCAAACAGG